rnacentral:rRNA from 1 species
AUACGGAGGAUCCGAGCGUUAUCCGGAUUUAUUGGGUUUAAAGGGUGCGCAGGCGGGAGGUUAAGUCGGCGGUGAAAUUUUGCAGCUUAACUGUAAAAGGGCCUUCGAAACUGGUUUUCUUGGGUGGAGAUGAAGUUGGCGGACUUUGUGGGGUAACGGGGAAAUGCAUAGAUAUCACGAGGAACUCCGAUUGCGCAGGCAGCUUACUAAACUACUACUGACGCUCAGGCACGAAGGCGUGGGGAUCAAACAGGAUUAGAUACCCUGGUAGUCCACGCAGUAAACGAUGAUUACUAGCUGUCUGCGAUACAAUGUAAGCGGCUGAGCGAAAGCGUUAAGUAAUCCACCUGGGGAGUACGUUCGCAAGAAUGAAACUCAAAUGAAUUGACGGGG